GUAAUUAGUAGCAUAUCCUAAGAGGCUAGGGUAAGCUACCUCUGCUGUGUCGCUUUGACUUUACGCCUCGGAAACAGAAUUUUUUACUUCGAGCAGGAUGAGAAGCAACUGUUGAGAAGAGAGAGAUUCUGAAUGCUGUACGCCGACUGGUCCAGAGGCCCGUCACUACUGCUCAAAGCUGUGCGGGCGCCCUCUAUCGGCCUCUUAGUGAUGGUGGCAAUUAAUGGUCUACAUUUCUUUUUUUAAUUAGGCCAGAAACUUUGUCCUGAUGAGAACUUGGUCAUCAUGUUUACAUGAUGGUCUUUGGCUCAUGGAAGUGACUCCUCCCUGGAGCAGUGCUGGGAAUUAGAUGAAAGUGGAGUCGCACUCUGAUCAAGUCCAGGUGGAUGAAAGCCAUUCAGCAAAGCCAAAGGUCAAAGAUCUACAGCAAGCCGGCAAGGGACAAGAUCGGGCCAGUGCAAUCUCUCUUUACCUUGUGUGUGUUUGCUGUGACUCUCCUCGCCCCGGCUGGAUGGAUCAUGCAUCACAUCCCAGAAUACCAGAAGAGACCACCUCCCCACCCCUGACCUCUGACUUUUGCAUAAAAACCUUGGCUGUUACUGCGAUAAAAAUCUUCAGAUGUGUAACAUGCAAUAAAAGGAGGAAACACUUUUAAAUUAAA